NNCCAGCUGACGAGUCUCAAAUAGGACGAAACACACGUCAAACUAGAU
rnacentral:hammerhead_ribozyme from 1 species